rnacentral:rRNA from 1 species
AUACGUAGGUGGCGAGCGUUGUCCGGAAUUACUGGGCGUAAAGGGCGUGUAGGCGGCGAUUUAAGUCAGAUGUGAAAGCCCAGGGCUUAACCCUGGAAUUGCAUUUGAGACUGGAUGGCUUGAGGAUCGGAGAGGGCAGUGGAAUUCCCAGUGUAGCGGUGAAAUGCGUAGAUAUUGGGAGGAACACCAGUGGCGAAGGCGACUGCCUGGACGACACCUGACGCUGAGGCGCGAAAGCCAGGGGAGCAAACGGGAUUAGAUACCCCGGUAGUCCUGGCCGUAAACGAUGGGUACUAGGUGUGGGAGGUAUCGACCCCUUCCGUGCCGCAGUUAACACAAUAAGUACCCCGCCUGGGGAGUACGGCCGCAAGGUUGAA